GAGGGUAUAGCUCAGUGGUAGAGUGCGAGCUUAGCAUACACUAUGUCUUGGGUUCAAUUCCCAAUUCCUCCA
rnacentral:tRNA from 1 species